UACGAAGGGGGCUAGCGUUGCUCGGAAUCACUGGGCGUAAAGGGCGCGUAGGCGGCCUUCUAAGUCGGACGUGAAAUCCCUCGGCUCAACCGAGGAACUGCGUCCGAUACUGGUUGGCUUGAAUUCGGGAGAGGGAUGCGGAAUUCCAGGUGUAGCGGUGAAAUGCGUAGAUAUCUGGAGGAACACCGGUGGCGAAGGCGGCAUCCUGGACCGACACUGACGCUGAGGAGCGAAAGCCAGGGGAGCAAACGGG
rnacentral:rRNA from 1 species